UUCCUCUCUCCACCUUCCUGCUCUGUCCAGCUGUUGUUCAUCACCAAUCACUCAUCAACGGAACUCCGGACAGCUGUGGUGCAGCACACCUGAUGAUCAUCUCCACCAUAAAAGCCGGCUGCACACUUCACACCCUGCCAGAUAGUAAACUCUGCUCACGCACUCUGCUGACCCAGCUGCCUGGUUCCACCUGCUCUGUCCUCCCAUCUCCUGCAUUCUGGAUCCAGCCCUGACCAGAUCUCCCCCCUGCCUCCCUCACCUUGGACCUGCUGCCUGCUCCUGGAACCCCUGCUCAUCGUGGAGGGUCUCUGCCUGCCGUGUGCCCCCCUCGGCUCUGGAAAACACCCCGCCUGUCGCCCCCCUGGAACGAGGCCCUCCUGCCCGCUCUCCACCGCCGACCCACCCCAUGGAGAACGCCAACCGGGCCGCCGGUUCCUGGUACAGUCACACCACCAACCUCCCCUUUAGUUCAGUUAUUCCAGUCACCAGGUUCCCCACCCCGUCCAGCACUCCCCUUUGUUUUGUUAAUAAAAUCCACCUUUGUUCUUGCCUCA